rnacentral:tRNA from 1 species
CCCUGGUUAGCUCAUUUGGUAGAACGCUCAACUGGAAAUGGAGAGGUCCCGGGUUCGAUUCCCGAACCAGGCA